CAAAUUAGAGCUUGAGAGAAGCGUUUUAUUUACACUAAAAAGUUAAUUGUGAAAUUCAAUUUAAUUUGA
rnacentral:tRNA from 1 species